rnacentral:rRNA from 1 species
AACGAACGCUGGCGGCGUGCCUAAUACAUGCCAGUCGAGCGAACAGACGAGGAGCUUGCUCCUCUGACGUUAGCGGCGGACGUGUGAGUAACACGUGUAUCACCUACCUAUAAUACUGGUAUAACUUCGGGAAACCGGAGCUAAUCCCGGAUAACAUGCUGAACCGCAUUGUUCAACAGUGAAAUACGGUCUUGCUGUCUCUUAUAGAUGGAUCCCCGCCGCAUUAGCUAGUUGUUAGGUUCACGGCUUAUCAAGGCAACGAUGCGUAGCCGACCGGAGAGGGUGAUCGGCCACACUGGAACGGAGACACGGACAAGACGCCUACGGGAGGCAGCAGUAGGGAAUGUUCCGCAAUAGGCGAAAGCCUGACGGAGCAACGCGGCGUGAGUGAAGAAGGUCUUCGGAUCGUAAAACUCUGUUAUUAGGGAAGAACAAAUGUGUAAGUAACUAUGCACGUCUUGACGGUAACUAAUAAGAAAGCAACGGCUAACUACGUG